UGCAGUGAGUCUUGCACCAGUGGCGGCUGGUGAAAAAAAAUCUUGGUGGGGCUGGUGUGCCAAUAGAUUUCCCUGCCUAGUCAAGUACAUGCAUUCAAAUUAAAAGUCGGAAAAUUACUACAAUUCCACAAUAAUCAUUUAAUUCUCUUCUCAGAAUCAGCAGUUUACAGAUACAGU